CCUACGGGUGGCAGCAGUAGGGAAUCUUCCACAAUGGGCGAAAGCCUGAUGGAGCAACGCAGCGUGGGUGAAGAAGGUCUUCGGAUCGUAAAACCCUGUUGUUAGAGAAGAAAGUGCGUGAGAGUAACUGUUCACGUUUCGACGGUAUCUAACCAGAAAGCCACGGCUAACUACGUGCCAGCAGCCGCGGUAAUAAGUAGGUGGCAAGCUUUAUCCGGAUUUAUUGGGCGUAAAGGGAACGCAGGCGGUCUUUUAAGUCUGAUGUGAAAGCCUUCGGCUUAACCGGAGUAGUGCAUUGGAAACUGGGAGACUGGAGUGCAGAAGAGGAGAGUGGAACUCCAUGUGUAGCGGUGAAAUGCGUAGAUAUAUGGAAGAACACCAGUGGCGAAAGCGGCUCUCUGGUCUGUAACUGACGCUGAGGUUCGAAAGCGUGGGUAGCAAACAGGAUUAGAUACCCCUGUAGUC
rnacentral:rRNA from 1 species